CUACGGGUGGCAGCAGUAGGGAAUAUUGCGCAAUGGGCGAAAGCCUGACGCAGCAAUACCGCAUGAGUGAGGAAGGUUUUCGGAUUGUAAAGCUCUGUCAGAAUGGAAAAACGGCAUAUUAUCUAAUAGGUAGUAUGUUUGAUGGUACAUUCAAAGGAGGCACCGGCUAACUUCGUGCCAGCAGCCGCGGUAAUACGAAGGGUGCAAGCGUUAUUCGGAUUUAUUGGGCGUAAAGCGCGCGUAGGCGGAUUGUUAAGUCAGAUGUGAAAUCUCGGGGCUCAACCCCGAAACUGCGUCUGAACUAAUAAUCUAGAAUCAUGGAGAGGGAAGGGGAAUUUCGCAUGUAGGGGUAAAAUCCGUAGAGAUGCGAAAGAACACCAGAGGCGAAGGCGCCUUCCUGGACAUGUAUUGACGCUGAGGCACGAAAGCGUGGGGAGCAAACAGGAUUAGAUACCCCGGUAGUC
rnacentral:rRNA from 1 species